rnacentral:misc_RNA from 1 species
AACGCACCUUGCACCCUUUGGUAUUCCGAAGGGUAUGCCUGUUUGAGUGUCAUUAAAUCUCUCAACUUCAUAUUUUGAAGCUUGGACUAUGGAGGUCAUUGCAGGCUUUUUAUGGUCAGCUCCUCUUAAAUGCAUUAGCGGAACUGUUUAAGGACCGGCUUUGGUUUGAUAAUUAAAUAUCUAUGCCGUCGCUGUGGACUUGCAUUGAUUGUUCAGCUUCUAAUGGUCUUCGGACUGUCUCUCUUUUGGAGGCAUACACUUUAAGCUUGACCUCAAAUCAGGUAGGACUACCCGCUGAACUUAA